UGGACAAGCCACUGGUGCAGCCCAUCCCCGAGCGCCUCGUCCCUCUCCCGCCCACGCGCUUCCCGCCUACCAGGGACGAGGACGCCAGGGACCCGAGUCUCGGGCAGCGUCGCAGGCGGCGCUGGGGCUGCGGUGAGGCUGGAGCGCUGGGUUGGGGGGGGGGGAGGUGGGAAUAGCCGGCGUCGCGCCCCCUCCCACUUGGCGCCCCUCGCCAGAGCGGCCCUUGUGCCGCGGGACGGAAACUGCGGGCCCCCAGCCUCGGAAAGGGCGCGUGCCGGAGCCGCGUUCUCACCGCUCGGGGAGAGUCCGGGGAAACCCUGGUGCGGACACGCCGCGCGGGUUCCCGAAGUUGCGGCGUCCGCGAGUGCCGAGGCGGGGUCACCCGCAAUAGCCCCCGACUCCAUCUCCGCCCGCCGGGUGCCCGCGCCCUUCCUCCCGGCACCCGCUAGGCGCGCAGCCAGGCCGGGGCUCAGCCCGGGAUCCCGCUGCGGCACCCCGUGGUCGGCGUCCCCGCCCCCACCCCCCCGAGAGCAACGCGGCGCCCAAGUUUUCCCUAGCGGGAAAGUCAAAGUCUCGAGGAGGAGAGGGUCCGGCCGUCCCGGCCACUCCGGGGCUGGGAUCGGAGCCCUGCACCCCGGCCCCGGCCGUUCCUCGCUGGCCUGCGCGGCCAAGUCGACUUACGAAAGGGAGCAGGGGAGCCCCGGACGCGGGGUCCCCGCGGCUGCAGAGGCCGUCCGGGAGGGGGCCGCGAGCUGCGCUCCGGGCUCCCAGCCCCUCUGCGGCGGCGGCGGCGGCUCGCUCCCGCCUCCUCCCCUUUCGCCAACUCGGCGGCGCGCCCUGCUAGGGAGUUGCUUUCCCUCGGCCGGGGGUGGGAGAGCGCCGAGCGGCCCCCGUGACGUGGAGGAGAAAGGAGGAGCGCCGUCGCCGCGCUCCCGCAGCGGGAGCUCCCCGCCCCUGCACUCCGGGGUCCCCUCUCCAAGCUUGGGACAAAGUUGCGAGGCGCGCGCGGCGCGCUCCGCUCCGGCCGAGCCGCGCGGCUCUGCGCCGCUGCCCUGA
rnacentral:lncRNA from 1 species